AUGGGAGAGAGAGGGAGGGGGAAGGAGAGAGAGAGAUUGAAAAAUCAAUCCCCCAGCCACAGGCAGCCCAGCUGGUGGGCACCAGAUGGGAAAGCGAUGAUCUACAGAUCAGGGCCUGUUAACAAGGCUGAUGGCAACCCAAGGAAACCACCUGCAGCCGGCUUUGCAGAAAAUCAGCACCCAAGGAUGGGGCUUCCAGUAAUCCAUCGCAGGAACCACCGAGCCAUGAACUUGUUAAACGGUAGCCGCUGGAGGCCGGCUCAGCUCACGCUCAGCUGCAAACGGGGCGAAUCUCUGCCACUGGAAGACCAGAUGGCGCCAGUGUUGGUGGUGGUCUCACGGUCCCAACACGCACCUUGGCAGAUGCUGGGGUUGGCAGCUCCCGGGUCAGCUGAACUAACAUUGCCGGCAUCUUCUGAGCGUUUGAGAGGUGCAUCUGUUCGCUCUGGUACUCUAGAUUGGAUGGAAUCAUGUCUUUCUAAGCAGUUCUUGACUUGGAUUUUCAUUAGAGUUUUCUGUGGCGUAUUCAAAAUACUCCACACCAGGCCACACCUCCCAACAAUCAGAGUGGAAUCUCAGCAUUGCAUUGGCCUUCCUGAAGUUUCAACAUCGACGUGUAUUCAGUCAAGUCUCUUUUAGACCCUAUAGACUGUAGCCCCCCAGGCUCCUUUGUCUAUGGAGUUUUCCAGGCAAGAGUACUGGAGUGGGUUUCCAUUUCCUCCUCCAAGAGAUCUUCACGACCCAGGGAUCCAACCCAUGUCUCCUGCAUUGACAGGAG
ensembl:lncRNA